GGCGCCUUCUCUCUUCCUCCAGAGUCACCAUGUGAUCCCUCAAUGAGGACACCAAUGGAAGGCAUCAUAAAUAAGAUAAGUCAUAUAAAAUAUAUAGAUUUAUGAUAAUUAAGACUGAGCUAACAGAUGAGAAAUCCUAGUCAUUGGCCAAGCAGCAUUUGUACCUAGUGUCUCUGUGUAUCAUUUGAGGCCCUAAUGCAGUGAGCAGAACUCAAGAGGGUAGUGGAAAGAUUUAUUGUAACAUUACUGAUUUUCUUUUUUUUUUUAAAUUUAUGUGUAAAAGUCUUUUGUCCGCACGUAUGUAUGUGCAUCACCUGCAUACCUGGUGUCCAGGAAGGUCAGAAGAGGGCAACCAAUUCCCUGGGGUUGGAGUUACAGAUAGUUAUGAGCAGCCUCGUGGGUGCUGGGAAUUAAACCUAGGUCCUUUGCAAGAACACAAAGUAUUUGUAACCACUGAGCAAUCUCUCCAGCAGCCCCCUCCCAUUUCCUUUGUAUUGUUAAGAGGAGUUUCAUAAGAGAAACUCAGAAGACAAGGGUGUGUGUGUGUGUGUGUGUGUUUGUGUGUGUGUGUGUGUGUGUGUGUGUGUGUGUGUGUGUGUGUGUGGUGUGUGUUUCCAUUUUCUGUAUUUGUGACAACAUGCCUAAUGCUGGCUAUUUUAUAAGCUCAUAAUUUUGGAUGUUGAAAAUCCAAGACCUAACAACUAUGCCUCUGGUGUCACAAUGUAGUGGCAUCUUGGCUUAUAAAACUGAGAGAUCUUACAGUUAAACAAAAGCCAAAGAGCAAGGAGAGAUAAAGUUUUUCUUGUGGCUGAAGCCUACCUGCCUGGAGCUUGCCUGGACUGGAUCAAUGGUUCUGCCAUCUAAAGAGAUUCAUUUGGCUUCAACCCCCAAUUGUGUGUUUACUCUUCAUGUCCCAGUCUAAAACUAGGGGGACAGCACCUAUGUCAGAGGAUUGGCACGAUCAUGAAGGACCUCUACGGUGCUUGCCUUUAUUGCAUUGUCCUGGCAUCACAGUUGUAUUUACUGUUAGCGGAUCAUGAAUCCCUGGAGGGCAAAGCCCUUGUUUUACCACAUACAGCAGUAACCACUAUAUUAAUGCUUAUGAGAGUAAAUGUGAAGUCCAUUCUGACCCCUUCACUCUGGUGAGAUGCUCAGAUAGCGUCUGUGUCACCCCAAUUCUUCGUGCUCUGCCUUUGCCAUUUCUUUACAUAACACCAGUGGUUUCCCGCCUCCCAAAAUAGACUAAUUCAAUUAUUCUGUAUUUAUCAGUUAGAACCAAUGGAAUGAAAAUAAGCUGCCAUAGCACAAAACCCCCAGAUGUUUGGGGUUAGUUUUCUAACACAGUGUUCAACUAUUUUACUUAUUUAAUGUUUUUUUUUCUUAAGAAACAAAACAAAACCAGUCUGCCCUGGGAUUUGGAAAUAGGAUCCGAUUCUCUUGGAGCCUCCCGCUCACUGCUGGGAGCCGUGUGGGCAUGAGGGACAGACAGAGAUGCUGUAAAGAGGACCCCCUGCCUCCUGUCUGCAGACCAUAAUCCCUUCCUGAAGAGGAGGAUGCCUGUAUGUCUACUGGUGUGGCCCCAAAGGACACCUCUUGGCAAUGGAUGUGUUAUUGCAUUGAUAACAGACAACGGGUGAUGUUCCAGGAAAUUCUCUUCGAACAAAAGAAUUGGGGCUGCAGACACCUGACGCAUGAGUGUCUGGGAAGGCGCCUGCGGUCUCAAGGAUGCAUCAGACAGAAACAUUCUCCACGAUUAGAGAAGAGAACCCAUUUUGAACAAGGUGAUGGUUCUUCUCAGUUGUCAACUCGAGAUCUAGAGUCACCUGGGAAGCAGGUCUCUGGGCAUGCUGUAAGGUUCAUCAAACUGGGAAGGCGCUCCCACUGUGGAUGGCACCAUCCCCUGGACUGAGAUCCUUCUGUAUAAAAUGGAGAAAGUGAGCUGAGCACACUGAGAGCUAUGAUGUAACCAGCUGCUUCCUGCUGCUAUGACUUCCCAACAAUACCCUGGAACCUGAUGCUGAGAGCCAGGAUCAACCACAGCAACAGGGAAAGUCCAGGAUCACACAGCACAUCCAUCCAUCUCAUGUGAAGCCUUCCCACUUGGGUUUGACUGACAGUUCCUGAGGAUUCAGUUGAGAUUAUGCCUGUUUUGGACGGAAGACCACCAAAGUGACAUGGACUUUCAGUGUGAGGUGGCAGGAGGCACAUGGUGAUAACUUUGUGUGUUUAGGGAGGACUCUCCUUGGCUGAUCCACUAUGAAAUCAAUGAAUGUUUCCUUUUGGUAACGACUAUGCCAUUUGUUGGGAAAAGAGGUAGCAUUUUUAUUGUACACAUAUUUGGGCCCUAUUUCAUUGUACCAUUCACGGGCAAUUUCCUUUAUCUUUGCUUCUGUGUACUACUUGUAGGUUAGUCAGCUUUCUGUUAUGUGACAAAAUAUCUGAAAAGAAAGGUUAAUUUUAGCUCAUGGCUUCAGAAGUAACAGUCCACGGUCACUUGGCCCCAUUGCUUUGGGCCCAUCAUAAGAUGUGAUCUCAAAGAAGAAACAUAUGGCGCAGACAACCUAUUUGCCUCAUGGUGGGAGGAAAGCAGGGUGAUGGGCCGGGUCUUUCCAUGAGGCCUUGCUCCUAAAGGUCCCACUGCUGCCCAAUGGCACCACAGUCCGAGGGCCAAGCCUUCACCCACACAGGUUCACUGAAUCAAAUCUACAGCCCAGAAGUCGGUGUUUUACUGUGAGAAGAGGCUUUUUUCCAUUCACACUUCUUCCUUCCUUCCUUCCUUCAUUUCUUUUUUUUCAAGACAGGGUUUCUCUGUGUAGCUUUGUAGACCAGAUUGGCCUCGAACUUAGACAUCUGCCUGCCUCUGCCUCCCAAGUGCUGGGAUUAAAGGUGUGCACCACCACCACCUGGCUAUCACACUUAUUUCUAUAAUCAUACAGCUACAUAAUCAUAGAUUUAAACCUUAUUAAUAGUUUAUAUCACUACAAUCAGAUUCAUCUCAAAGCAGACCAAUGAGAACCCUUUAAACUGGCUUCUGGGGCUGGAGAGAUGGCUCAGCAGUUAAGAACACUGGCUGCUUUUCUGGAGGGUCAGCGUUUGAUUACCAGCAUCAACAUGGCAGUUCACAAACAUUUGUAAUUCCAGUUCCAGGGUGCACAAAUGCCCUCUUCUGGCCUCUGUGGACACUGCACAAAGAAAUCCAUACACACAUAAUUAAAUAUAAAAUAAAAAUUUUAACGUGUCUUUCUGACAUCAGCCUCA
ensembl:lncRNA